rnacentral:lncRNA from 1 species
GAAAACAUGAAUGAUUACAAGAAAUAUAAAAUAAACUGCAUUUUGUUGUGUGUUAAAUCAAUCAGUAUGCCUUAUGCUAUAUAUUUUUGGAAUACUGUGGCUAAUGAUUUCCCUUUUCUCUAAAUGAUAGGGCUAUCAAAAAUUCAGGAAAACUUUUCCAUCACCACUAAAGAACUCAAGUUUGUAAAUAUGAAUCUCAUUGAAAAAGACAAUGUGAAAUUUAGUCUUGUUAUUGUUUCAUGUUUUACAAGUUUAAAUGGACACUACAGUGAUAACAGGUCAGUGGAUUUGGGCCAUGAUACUGACGGACUGAUUUAAUUGCACCAUGUUGAUCAUCUUCAAAGGCAUCUCC